CUCGUACAGCUGCUACAAGGCAGCACGUGCUUUUAUUGCCGGCCGCCUUAUCUGCAGCAUUAGCAGUCAGGGCAGAUGGAUGCCUGCUGCUAAUGGGCUCUAACACUCCAUCCCUUCAAGACUAAUGGACAGCUUUCAGAAAGCACUUCGCUGCCACCUCCCCUGGCACAGAAUGGGACUGUGGGGUUACAUCCAAGUUGCCAUUGCCUUCACCUGCCUGGAAGCUUCAGAAGAACCUCCUUUUUGUUUGUGGGACUCAACCAGCUCUGCAGCUGGAUUCAUUUGCAAGCAGCACUUUAGGAGAUGCAGUCAGCAAUGAGUACAAAAAUAGCACUUAUUUACUCCGUGUGCUUUGCUGACAAACAACUUCUGAAGUCCCCUGGAGAAGAUUCAGCCACAGAACAAUUCCAACACGGAUAAAUCGUCAGCUGAACUCCAACUGCAGCUGAUAGAAUAAAAAAAAAAACCCCAGCAGGAUUCCUCCAUUCCAGAUGGCACCUUGAUGUGCUGCCAGAUACGGAGGAGCUCCCAUUUAGCAACACUAACCGUAUUUCUUUAAGCUGAAUAAAAAGAAAUUACAACUCUCAUUCUUAAGGCAGAUUUUGGAGCCAGCAGAACAGGUGAGCACGGCUUCAAAAAGCUGCUGCAGCUCACAGUAAUUGCGGAGGUUUGUUCUCUGCUUUCAAGUACUCAGAGUGGGAUGGCACUCCAGGCAGUUCCAAAUGCUCCUCCUGGUCCAGCUCAGUGCUGUUACAGAAACAAAUGCAGCAUUAGAUGGUUCCAGAGGGGCCCAGAAGGGCUGUGAGCAUAGGGUGAAACUUGCUUGUGCUGUAUGGGGACAGACACUGCACUCUCCUGUCCGUACAUCAUUACAGCAUAAAUGAGAAGAAGUAAUUUGCUGAAUUAAAG
ensembl:lncRNA